rnacentral:rRNA from 1 species
AGAAUCAACGCUGGCGGCGUGCCUAACACAUGCAAGUCGAACGAGAAAGUGGAGCAAUCCAUGAGUAAAGUGGCGCACGGGUGAGUAACACGUGACUAACCUACCCUUGAGUGGGGGAUAACCUAGGGAAACCUGGGCUAAUACCGCAUAAUACCUUCGGGUCAAAGGAGCAAUUCGCUUAAGGAGGGGGUCGCGGCCGAUUAGUUAGUUGGCGGGGUAAUGGCCCACCAAGACUGUGAUCGGUAUCCGGCCUGAGAGGGCGCACGGACACACUGGAACUGAAACACGGUCCAGACUCCUACGGGAGGCAGCAGUGGGGAAUUUUGCGCAAUGGGGGAAACCCUGACGCAGCAACGCCGCGUGGAGGAUGAAGUCCCUGGGACGUAAACUCCUUUCGAUCGGGACGAUUAUGACGGUACCGGAAGAAGAAGCCCCGGCUAACUUCGCGCCAGCAGCCGC